rnacentral:rRNA from 1 species
CCCUUAGAUGUUCUGGGCUGCACGCGCGCUACACUGAUGCGUUCAACGAGUUUAUGACCUUGCCCGAUAGGGUUGGGUAAUCUUUUUAAAUCGCAUCGUGAUGGGGAUAGAUUAUUGCAAUUAUUCAUCUUCAACGAGGAAUUCCUAGUAAACGCAAGUCAUCAGCUUGCAUUGAUUACGUCCCUGCCCUUUGUACACACCGCCCGUCGCACCUACCGAUUGAAUGGUCCGGUGAAAUCUUCGGAUCUGAGAGAUGUCUGAUUAAUUUCGGACGCCUUUUGGAAAAGUUGUUUAAACCUUACCAUUUAGAGGAAGGUGAAGUCGUAACA